AGAGUUUGAUCCUGGCUCAGAUUGAACGCUGGCGGAAUGCUUUACACAUGCAAGUCGAACGGCAGCACGGGAGCUUGCUCCUGGUGGCGAGUGGCGAACGGGUGAGUAAUGCGUAGGAACAUAUCCAGUAAUGGGGGAUAACGCAGCGAAAGUUGUGCUAAUACCGCAUACGUCCUGAGGGAGAAAGUGGGGGAUCGCAAGACCUCACGUUAUUGGAGUGGCCUACGUCUGAUUAGCUAGUUGGUGAGGUAAAGGCUCACCAAGGCGACGAUCAGUAGCAGGUCUGAGAGGAUGAUCUGCCACACUGGAACUGAGACACGGUCCAGACUCCUACGGGAGGCAGCAGUGGGGAAUUUUGGACAAUGGGCGCAAGCCUGAUCCAGCCAUUCCGCGUGAGUGAAGAAGGCCUUCGGGUUGUAAAGCUCUUUCAGGAGGGAAGAAACGGUUACGGCUAAUACCCGUGACUAAUGACGGUACCUUCAGAAGAAGCACCGGCUAACUACGUGCCAGCAGCCGCGGUAAUACGUAGGGUGCGAGCGUUAAUCGGAAUUACUGGGCGUAAAGCGUGCGCAGGCGGUUUUGUAAGUCAGAUGUGAAAGCCCCGGGCUCAACCUGGGAAUGGCGUUUGAAACUACAAGACUAGAGUGUGUCAGAGGGGGGUAGAAUUCCACGUGUAGCAGUGAAAUGCGUAGAGAUGUGGAGGAAUACCGAUGGCGAAGGCAGCCCCCUGGGAUAACACUGACGCUCAUGCACGAAAGCGUGGGGAGCAAACAGGAUUAGAUACCCUGGUAGUC
rnacentral:rRNA from 1 species